GUUUGAGUUCUUCACCUGUCAGCUAGAUUGCACGUGCCUGUUUUUAAUAAUUGUUAAAUGUAGUACAGAAUCUGUAGUCUAUCUCACAAGAAGCACCUGGCCCCUCCCAACCCUACCGCCUUAACUAAUACAUUUUCUGCGGGAAACACCACCGACUGCUUUCCCAGUUCAUCUCACCUACUCUGCACACACGAGUCAGGUGUGUGGCUGCGGCUGAAAUAAUGUUGAACUCCAUUAAGUAGGGGGUUUUAUUCACUUUAAAUAAAGCGAUUCUCUUUAAUGUAGUUGAUGCAGACUCAUUCAUAAAUUAGUUGCAGCAAAAAUGCUGAUUACCGGUGUAAUUUUCCAAGAAUCUGCUUUAUUAGAGAUUAAAAUCUUAUCUAGUUAACGUUAGCUUGUUGCAUUGUGCAACCCCCCCCCCCUUGUUAAAUGAAAUUUACGCCCAUGUAUAUGUAAACAUAUUUUUCUUUCAUUUACACCAAUUUACAAUGUCAAACGUUUUGCAUGUUUCAGGUAAAAUGUUGGUCCAGGUCAAGUACAACGAACAGCAGAAGUAUGUGAAGCUGGAUUGCAUUGAAGAGAGGUUCGACUUUAUGCAAUUUCAUCUAAAAGGUUGUUUUUUUUUCUUCACUAUUAAAAUAAAUAAGAAUUUGAUUAAAAUCUGAAAUUCUUUGUAUUGUCCAAGCUGUCAUGUUGUUGACUCAUUUCUGUACAUGCCUUUAUCAUAUAACAUUAAUGUUUUAUAGAAGGGGACACAUUGGAAGAAAAAAAAAUUCAUUGAGAGAUUUUGCUUGCCACCAGAUGCAACAGUUACAUACAAGGAUGCAACAGGAACAGAAGUCGAUGCAGAGAUAUUCAGCGACCUCGUUGGAAAAGGCUAACUGUUUUCUCAAAUGAUGUUGGUCGAAGAAAAUUAAAAUUCAAGUCCGGUGGUGAAGCCAUAUUACAGGAGUAUCAAGAAACAAACGCUUACAGAUGCCACAAGAAGACAAAUGGUUAACCUCCUGGUGGCUCACAUGAUUGAUAUGCAUGGGCAACUCCCUACUAAACCUAUCAGAGAACCGUAUGCUCAUGGCAUGCUGUUCCCUUCCCUGAGAGAUCCAUAUUCCAAGAAAGGCUAUGUAAGUCAUUCUCUGCAUGACCAUUUCACGUUGAACUUGCAAUGGUAUUAUAUCUGCGACAUAGAAAUUUGAUUCUUUUAAGGAACACUUUUAUGAUGCUGCAAGAAACACAGGAUACAUUGCUUGGCGUAUGAAAACUGUCCACAGGCAGAUUCGACGAGGAUCUUUGCCACUAGACAGCCCUCGUAAU